GAUGAACGCUGGCGGCGUGCCUAAUACAUGCAAGUAGAACGCUGAAGCUUGGUGCUUGCACCGAGCGGAUGAGUUGCGAACGGGUGAGUAACGCGUAGGUAACCUGCCUGGUAGCGGGGGAUAACUAUUGGAAACGAUAGCUAAUACCGCAUAACAGUAGAUAUUGCAUGAUAUCUGCUUGAAAGGUGCAAAUGCAUCACUACCAGAUGGACCUGCGUUGUAUUAGCUAGUUGGUGAGGUAACGGCUCACCAAGGCGACGAUACAUAGCCGACCUGAGAGGGUGAUCGGCCACACUGGGACUGAGACACGGCCCAGACUCCUACGGGAGGCAGCAGUAGGGAAUCUUCGGCAAUGGGGGGAACCCUGACCGAGCAACGCCGCGUGAGUGAAGAAGGGUGUCGGAUCGUAAAGCUCUGUUGUAAGAGAAGAACGAGUGUGAGAGUGGAAAGUUCACACUGUGACGGUAUCUUACCAGAAAGGGACGGCUAACUACGUG
rnacentral:rRNA from 1 species